UACGUAGGGGGCAAGCGUUGUCCGGAUUUAUUGGGCGUAAAGAGCGUGUAGGCGGCCAGACAGGUCAGCUGUGAAAACUCGAGGCUCAACCUCGAGACGUCGGUUGAAACCGUCUGGCUAGAGUCCGGAAGAGGAGAGUGGAAUUCCCGGUGUAGCGGUGAAAUGCGCAGAUAUCGGGAAGAACACCCGUGGCGAAGGCGGCUCUCUGAGACGGUACUGACGCUGAGACGCGAAAGCGUGGGGAGCGAACAGG
rnacentral:rRNA from 1 species